CUCUUGAAAACACCGACGUGACCAAAGGAAGGAAGGAUAUCACCGAUACGAUGUCUCGUCGAUGCAAAUCCAAGACCCAGAUGUCUGAUGACGUAGGUGCGUUCGCUGAUACACUCUGGAAUGGAACCGCGGCUGUUCGAAACUUAAUCUUGACUGAUGAUUUUAUCCGGCAUAUAAUUAGUGGGUAGUUAUAUUCAUCCAAAUUCGAUCCACAUGGGCGUUUACAGAAGAUGGGCGACAUUGGCCCUUGACCCACAGAACAUUGCAUACGAAGCUGUACUAACUGCUCUCAAUGCUGCCUUUGCUAGGAAUAUCAUCGAUUUGCCGACAGCACAGAAUAUAUUUAAUACAAGUAUGCAAUGUGAGAGGGACUUUUUCACAGCAUUUGUCUAGAGAGAUACUGAUUAUUGUAUGUCUCCAGUUUCUUGUUGGCUGUCUUAAACUCAAAGCAUGCUAACUGUUUUUUUAGUUAUUGCUUGUGAUGCAUGGAUAGAGCUUGGAUAACUUAAUAUUAUUCGUGACAUCCAUAUUGUCAAUUGUAUUUUUAACGUUAC